GUUUGAUCCUGGCUCAGGACGAACGCUGGCGGCGUGCCUAACACAUGCAAGUCGAACGAGUCCAGGCUUCGGCCUGAGGCGAGUGGCGGACGGGUGAGUAACACGUGAGCAAUCUAUCCUGUUGCGGGGGACAACGAGGGGAAACCUUCGCUAAUACCGCAUGGUCGAGAGAAGCGAUGCUUCUUUCGGGAAACGUGGCCUCUUUACAAUGCUACGGUGGCAGGAGGAGCUCGCGGGCUAUCAGCUGGUUGGUGAGGUAAUGGCUCACCAAGGCGACGACGGCUACGGGGUCUGAGAGGACGACCCCGCACAUUGGAACUGAGACACGGUCCAGACUCCUACGGGAGGCAGCAGUGGGGAAUAUUGGGCAAUGGCCGAAAGGCUGACCCAGCGACGCCGCGUGUGGGAGGAAGCCCUUCGGGGUGUAAACCACUGUCAGAGGGGACGAAAGAUUUCACGGUGAAUAAUCGUGAGAAGUGACGGUACCCUCAAAGGAAGCACCGGCUAACUCUGUGCCAGCAGCCGCGGUAAUACAGAGGGUGCAAGCGUUGUUCGGAAUUACUGGGCGUAAAGCGCGCGCAGGCGGGUCCUGUAAGUCGGAAGUGAAAUUUCGGAGCUCAACUCCGAAGCUGCUUCUGAUACUGCGGAUCUGGAGAUCGGUAGAGGUCGGUGGAAUUACAGGUGUAGCGGUGGAAUGCGUAGAUAUCUGUAAGAACACCCGUGGCGAAAGCGGCCGACUGGGCCGAAUCUGACGCUGAGGCGCGAAAGCGUGGGGAGCAAACAGGAUUAGAUACCCUGGUAGUCCACGCCCUAAACGAUGUCAACUAGUUGUUGGGGAUUCAUUUCUUCAGUAACGUAGCUAACGCGUGAAGUUGACCGCCUGGGGAGUACGGUCGCAAGAUUAAAACUCAAAGGAAUUGACGGGGACCCGCACAAGCGGUGGAUGAUGUGGAUUAAUUCGAUGCAACGCGAAAAACCUUACCUACCCUUGACAUGGCAGGAACUUUCCAGAGAUGGAUUGGUGCUCGAAAGAGAACCUGCACACAGGUGCUGCAUGGCUGUCGUCAGCUCGUGUCGUGAGAUGUUGGGUUAAGUCCCGCAACGAGCGCAACCCUUGUCAUUAGUUGCUACGAAAGGGCACUCUAAUGAGACUGCCGGUGACAAACCGGAGGAAGGUGGGGAUGACGUCAAGUCCUCAUGGCCCUUAUGGGUAGGGCUUCACACGUCAUACAAUGGUCGGUACAGAGGGUUGCCAAGCCGCGAGGUGGAGCCAAUCCCAGAAAACCGAUCGUAGUCCGGAUCGCAGUCUGCAACUCGACUGCGUGAAGUCGGAAUCGCUAGUAAUCGCGGAUCAGAAUGCCGCGGUGAAUACGUUCCCGGGUCUUGUACACACCGCCCGUCACACCAUGGGAGUGGGUUCUACCAGAAGUGGCUAGUCUAACCGCAAGGAGGACGGUCACCACGGUAGGAUUCAUGACUGGGGUGAAGUCGUAACAAGGUAGCCGU
rnacentral:rRNA from 1 species